rnacentral:lncRNA from 1 species
UAUUCAGGAUUUCUUACCUUAACCAAGGAGAAGGGUAGGGAUCCCUUUACAGAAGGGAUCAUCAUAACAGUCUUGCAUCAGUGAGGAUCAUUUGAAGGAGAAAAGUUGAAUAAGGCAUGAACAACCUUUUCAGUAGGAGGAUGAAGAUUGUGUUUGUGGUUGUAUGGACACAAUUUACAAAAAGGUCUCAUUGAAGUCAACAUCCCAAGGUCAUCUGCCUCAACAUGGAAAUCUCAAUCAGAACGUGACUCUGGUGAUCAUGACAGUCCUCCGUUUAUUUAACCUUUAUCACCACGGCGACAAAAUGAGAGACACUCGUUUUGACACAGGAGGCACACGGGAUGACAUGUGCAACCACGACAACUUCUGUAAACAUGCUGCCAAAACCCGAAGAGGAGAGUGCCACAUUAAAAAGCCGACAGAGCAGUUGGUGGCCUGGCAUCAUGUCAUCUUGUGAAAAUUGGCGUUUGAACGGGACUUUACUGGCCAGGCCCUGUCAGUCCCGGGAUCAGACGGAGAGACAGGGUGCUAAUGGGAGUGGAUGCACUGCUAGCCCACCGUCUUAUCACUGCUGCCAUCUGUGACCCGAGCCGCAGCCUAUUUUCAAAGCCGGCCCAUCCGUUUUCAACUCGUGUCACGCGUUUGUGUGCAUCCUGGCUGCUGUGGGUGGGCACCCGUUUUAUAACUGUGCAUCUUAGCUAAUUUCAGUAAUGUGGUUUUGUGCCCAUUGCCUGACAGUUUAAUGGGCCUUAUUUAUGCCACCCUUUCUCAUAAAACGGCAGCGGAAGUUGCAGUGCACAGAAAAACAGGGAUAUGAAUGGGACCACACUUUGCUAUAUGAUAUCUAUUGUUUUAAUUAAGUGAAAGCAGUUUUGACAUUUAUUGGAUUCCAAGUUACUUGUUAAUGACACCAGGAAGCAUGGUAGGAAACGUUAAAUUAUAGUUGCUUAUGUUACAUAAAUAAUUGAAUGUUGACCCCCAUGGUAAUGAUUACACAUUAUUCUCCCACUGUAGCUGUCGAGUGCCUGGACAUAUAUCACAGAAAGAAGCAUUACAGUCCUAUCUCAGUGCCAAAAUGGUACUCUUUUCUCAAUGUCUGUGAUGUUAGGAUGCAGUGGAUUUUCCUCCUUUGCAGUGAAAAAUUUCCAGUCAAAUUUUUGUCUCAUGGUAAAGACAUCCACAGGGCAACGGCGAAAUGACUGCGGUCAUGUUUUUCUAUGAUGUCACAUGCUGUUCUCGUCAUGUCAUUGCCACCAGCUUGCUGGUUGCUAGAACAUAUUCGCUGGUGGGGUGACCAAAUGCGUCAAGUGCUGCCGCCAUGCCCCAGUCAGUGCCCGCGGUGCCAGCGUGAUCUGACAGCCAUGCCACCCCGAUGACACGUCGACACAGACACAGCCUACCAUUUUGAAAGGCGACUCUGACGACGACAUCAAAAAGAGCAGUCGCAUGUCUCCCCG